rnacentral:misc_RNA from 1 species
AUGUAACAAUAGUAUGAAUUUAGACAACUUGAAACCUGCACCAGUUUACUUUCAGCUCACAAUCCUAGUAUUACAAGGCAUAUAAAGUUCCAUUGUAGAAUAAAGAUUGAACAAUAUGCACCAUAGCCGUAAAAGAUGAGAGUACACAAGUAAUGAAUCUUAAUUCCACAAUUACCAAUCAGCUGAACUGAAGCGUUUUCAAUCAGCAAAAAUAGAAAGCACAGCUUUAAUGCAAGUUAAAAGUUGACUUAUAUUGAAACCAUCAAUUUAAAGCAUAACUACAAAGCCUCACACAUGAAUAAAACAGCUCAAUUUCUUCACCCAGUAUCAAAGAAAAAUAAAAAUUUUAUUAGCAGGAAUACCACAAACAAAGAAAUCAGAAGCUGAUCGUGAUUUCACCAUGUGGAUCAAAAUUUAGUUAAAAAAAAAAAGUUGAUUGCAUGAGAUUUGCUAUUGUACCGUUUAGCAAUUCCAUUCUACAGGCCACCCAUAUAAUAAAUUAUAAGGCCAAAACCAUAUGAGACCUGAAGACACAAUUUUAAACAACAUAAAAUACUUCCUUGAUAAAAAACAGAGUAUAUUUUAUCGGUACAAGUAAAAUUGUAUCUAUAUGAUAAGGGAAAUGACAUUAGGACUGGUGUUAAUGUCAAAAGAUGAUAUUGGAAAUUUAACAUGGUGGCUUCAUAAUAUUACAAUCAUCACAGUUACCAUCCAAAGAAUGUCUUACAAAAUAAUAACACACCCUUGAGAAGAGAGGGAUUGGAGUGGAAGUAUUAUUCAGAUUAAACUCAUAGACCACCCUUGUCCAGCCCUAAUGAAGCAAGGAUCCUCAUGCAAUGCACUAAGGAAACCCUUAUCCAGCCCUAACAAAGCAGGAUGCCUCAUGCAAUGCACUAAGGAAACCCUUAUCCAGCCCUAACAAAGCAGGAUG